ACGGUCUAGAAAUCUUCUCAUUCUACAACCCCCGAAAGGUAUAUUUAUUUCUCUUCACAGAAAAUCCCACCAAUAUUUUUUCUUUUUAAAAAAAAAUGGCAGCUACAUCUCUGACUACACCUAAGCUAACUUCUGCUACUUCUCUUCAAUCCCUCUAUAGAAAACUCCCCGUUACAAUCCCAAUCCCAAUCCCUCUCUCUUCCUCCUCUCUAUCUCUUUCCAAAACCCUGACCUUUCUCUCUCCUUCUCGCCGCUUCGCUCUCCCUCUCCACCGCCGUCACUUCUCUGUUAUCCGCGCGGACUCCGGUAAUGGCGCCGAACCUUCUCGCCGCUAUGAUUUCGACCUUUUCACCAUCGGCGCCGGCAGCGGUGGCGUCCGUGCCUCCCGCUUCGCCUCCAAUUUCGGUGCUUCUGUUGCUGUCUGCGAGCUUCCUUUCUCUACUAUAUCUUCCGACACCACCGGUGGCGUCGGCGGCACAUGUGUUUUACGUGGAUGCGUCCCGAAGAAGCUGCUUGUGUAUGCGUCGAAAUAUUCGCAUGAGUUUGAUGAGAGUAAUGGAUUUGGAUGGACUUAUGCGACUGAACCGAAGCACGAUUGGUCUACUUUAAUGGCUAAUAAAAAUGCUGAGUUGCAGCGUCUUACUGGAAUUUAUAAAAAUGUUUUAAAGAAUGCUGGUGUCACUUUAAUUGAGGGUCGCGGAAAGAUUGUAGACCCUCACACGGUUGAUGUUGAUGGGAAAACUUAUUCAGCAAGGCACAUAUUAAUUUCAGUUGGGGGGCGUCCAUUUAUUCCUGAAAUUCCAGGAAGUGAAUAUGCAAUAGAUUCAGAUGCUGCCCUUGAUUUGCCAUCAAAGCCUGAGAAAAUUGCAAUAGUUGGUGGCGGUUACAUUGCCUUGGAGUUUGCUGGUAUAUUUAAUGGAUUGACAAGUGAUGUCCAUGUAUUUAUACGACAGCAAAAAGUAUUGAGGGGCUUUGAUGAUGAGAUCAGAGAUUUUGUUGCAGAACAAAUGUCUCUGAGAGGGAUUGAAUUCCACACUGAGGAGUCACCUCAGGCUAUUAUUAAAGCAGCAGAUGGUUCUCUUUCGCUGAAGACCAACAAAGGAACGGUUGAAGGCUUCUCCCAUAUCAUGUUUGCAACAGGACGUAGGCCUAACACAAAGAACUUGGGAUUGGAGACAGUGGGAGUAAAGAUGAACAAGAAUGGAGCGAUAGAGGUUGAUGAAUACUCACAGACAUCAGUUCCUUCCAUUUGGGCAGUUGGUGAUGUUACAGAUAGGGUGAAUUUGACUCCAGUUGCUUUAAUGGAAGGGGGAGCAUUAGCCAAAUCUCUGUUUCUGAAUGAGCCAACAAAACCCGAUUACAGAGCAAUUCCGUCUGCCGUGUUUUCACAACCGCCAAUAGGGAAUGUUGGUCUCACUGAAGAGCAGGCUGUAAAAGAAUAUGGUGACAUCGAUGCCUUCACAGCAAACUUCAGGCCUUUGAAGGCAACUCUCUCAGGGCUUCCAGAUAGGGUUUUCAUGAAAUUAAUAGUCUCUGCAAAGACAGGCAAAGUUCUGGGCCUGCACAUGUGUGGUGAAGAUGCACCAGAAAUUGUGCAGGGAUUUGCAGUUGCAAUAAAAGCUGGUUUGACUAAGGCAGAUUUUGAUGCUACAGUAGGUAUUCACCCAAGCGCAGCUGAGGAAUUUGUCACUAUGAGGACUCCUACACGAAAAAUACGAGCAGAUCCUCCAUCCGAGGGAACGACAGAUCAUGAGGUUAAAGCUGCAGCAGGAGUUUAGUUGGUGUAUUGCUGUAUUAUACAGCAACUCCUUUAUGGUGCGGAUGGUUUCGUACAACUUAUUUUACAUAUUAAUGGUUGUACUGUGAAAAAGUUGCGGAACAGUGACCUGGAUGCUGCCAUGUGGUGAUGAUGAUGCCUAAAUGGUAGGCUUGUCCUGUUGGGAGGAAUGAGCGAAAGAGUUCAGCUGUUUAGAAGGAGCAAGGAGCGUGUAUCAUAAUCAUAUGGAUGGCUUCCAAACAUGAGAAUGAGGAGCAGCGACUGGAACUGAGAUCCUUUUUGAAAUAUUUUUGGUCGUAAUUUAUUUCUUUUUGCUUUCACAGAAAACACUUUUUCAUUAGUUACACUUAUAGAUGAAUAAUGUAUUUCUCCUUCCCUCUCCAUCCAUGCUUGGUGUGCUGGUAAAUUUGUUAUUGCUGCUUACAUGCUUUUAUUAAAUUCUGGCCCGAAUGCUUUUGGAA